rnacentral:sRNA from 5 species
AUAUCUCUCUGUACGGGAAGGAUGAGAAGCUUCGACUAAGGUUCGACUCGAGCGAAAGCGAGAAAGCGUUGCCGCAGGCAACGACCCGAAGGGCGAAACGCGCAGCGCUGAGUCAUCCUUCCCCCACCACCA